AUUGAACGCUGGCGGCAUGCCUUACACAUGCAAGUCGAACGGCAGCGCGGGGCAACCUGGCGGCGAGUGGCGAAACGGGUGAGUAACAUAUCGGAACAUACCCUAGAGUGGGGGAUAACGUAGCGAAAGUUACGCUAAUACCGCAUACGCACUAAGGUGGAAAGUGGGGGAUCUUCGGACCUCAUGCUCAUGGAGUGGCCGAUAUCUGAUUAGCUAGUUGGUGAGGUAAAGGCUCACCAAGGCGACGAUCAGUAGCUGGUUUGAGAGAACGACCAGCCACACUGGAACUGAGACAC
rnacentral:rRNA from 1 species